rnacentral:rRNA from 1 species
GCUUACGGCCAUACCAGCCUGGGUACGCCCGAUCUCGUCUGAUCUCGGAAGCUAAGCAGGGUCGGGCCUGGUUAGUACUUGGAUGGGAGACACGGCCUGGGAAUACCAGGUGCUGUAAGCA